rnacentral:rRNA from 1 species
CGCUCUCUUGGUCAUUUAGAGGAAGUAAAAGUCGUAACAAGGUUUCCGUAGGUGAACCUGCGGAAGGAUCAUUAUCGAAAUUAUUGGUGAGGGUUGUAGCUGGCCUUUCGAGGCAUGUGCACGCUCGAGCCCUUAAUCCACUUUACACCUGUGCACUUAAUGUAGGUCGCCCUUAAAAAAGGUGACCUAUGUCUUAUCAUCAACCCAUCGUAUGUCUCAUAGAAUGUAAUCGAUAUCCUCGCCCUAAAAAAGCGUUGAUAAACUUAUACAACUUUCAACAACGGAUCUCUUGGCUCUCGCAUCGAUGAAGAACGCAGCGAAAUGCGAUAAGUAAUGUGAAUUGCAGAUUUUCAGUGAAUCAUCGAAUCUUUGAACGCACCUUGCGCUCCUUGGUAUUCCGAGGAGCAUGCCUGUUUGAGUGUCAUUAAAUUCUCAACUCCAAGGGUUUCACGACCUUUCGGAGAUUGGACUUGGAGGUGCUGGCCGCAUAUUGGUCGGCUCCUCUCAAAUGCAUCAGCGGAAUUCAACCUUUGGCUUCCGGAUGUCAGUGUGAUAAUCAUGUUGCGCUGUCGUUUGAUCCCUCAGAGUCCGCUUAUAAUGGUCUUCGGACAAAAUCAUCAUCAAAUUUGACCUCAAAUCAGGUAGGACUACCCGCUGAACUUAAGCAUAUCAAUAAGNCGGAGGAACUCCUG